AGAUGAGGUUUUUUCUUCUCUCUCUUGAAUACUUCAGAAAUGAUUCAUCUAUCAAAAUUAGCGAGCUGGCCCAAAGGCUUGCCAGUGCUAGCGGGUCAUCUCUGAGCAUCAAAAGAUCGCAGUUCAAGUCCCUGCAGCAAAAGAGAAAAUGUCAGAUGCUCAAGGAAAUGCAGUAGGAUCAAGGCAGCACAAGAUCCUGGUUGCACAAAGGUGAAACUGAGGCAACAGAUCACAGAAGUGCCCAAGAUCACAUAAGUUAAAGGGAGAAACAGGAAAGAACCCAGG